GUCAUCCAUAGCUCAGUGGUUAGAGCGUCCAACCAGCACCUGAAAGGUCAUGGGUUCGAUUCCUGUUGGGGAGCUCA
rnacentral:tRNA from 1 species